UGAGGAAUCUUGGACAAUGGGGGAAACCCUGAUCCAGCGACGCCGCGUGAAGGAUGAAGGUCUUCGGAUUGUAAACUUCUUUUAUUCGGGAAUAAAAAACCUCUAGAAAUAGAGUGAUUGAAGGUACCGGAUGAAUAAGCCACGGCUAACUUCGUGCCAGCAGCCGCGGUAAUACGAAGGUGGCAAGCGUUACUCGGAAUUACUAGGCGUAAAGGGCAGGUAGGUGGUUUGAUAAGUCUGUUGUGUAAGCUCCCGGCUUAACUGGGAGAGGUCAACAGAAACUAUCAGGCUUGAGUAUGGGAGAGGGUACUGGAAUUCCCGGUGUAGCGGUGAAAUGCGCAGAUAUCGGGAGGAACACCAAUGGCGAAAGCAGGUACCUGGACUAUUACUGACACUCAGCUGCGAAAGCUAGGGGAGCAAACAGG
rnacentral:rRNA from 1 species